GAUGAACGCUGGCGGCGUGCUUAACACAUGCAAGUCGAACGAUUAAAGCCCCUUCGGGGGUGUAUAAAGUGGCGAACGGGUGAGUAACACGUGGGCAAUCUGCCCCUCACUUCGGGAUAACUCAGGGAAACUUGAGCUAAUACCGGAUACUCCGAACUGAUCGCAUGGUCGGUUCGGGAAAGCUCCGACGGUGAGGGAUGAGCCCGCGGCCCAUUAGCUUGUUGGUAGGGUAACGGCCUACCAAGGCGACGAUGGGUAGCCGGGCUGAGAGGCUGAUCGGCCACACUGGGACUGAUACACGGCCCAGACUCCUACGGGAGGCAGCAGUGGGGAAUUUUGCGCAAUGGGCGAAAGCCUGACGCAGCAACGCCGCGUGCGGGAUGAAGGCUCUCGGGUCGUAAACCGCUUUCAGCAGGGAUGAAAUUGACAGUACCUGCAGAAGAAGCCCCGGCUAAAUACGUGCCAGCCGCCGCUGUAAUAC
rnacentral:rRNA from 1 species